rnacentral:misc_RNA from 1 species
AACGCACAUUGCGCCCCUUGGUAUUCCAUGGGGCAUGCCUGUUCGAGCGUCAUUUUGUACCCUCAAGCACUGCUUGGUGUUGGGCGUUUGUCCUGCAGAGGACUCGCCUGAAAGCGAUUGGCGGCCAACGUAGUCGUGGCAGAGCGCAGCACAAUCUCGCGUCUCUUCCCUCUGCGUCGGCGUCCAUAAGCCUACAAUCUCAACGGUUGACCUCGGAUCAGGUAGGGAUACCCGCUGAACUUAA